GUUUCCUUCCUCGAGAAGACAGAGAGAGGACGCACGCCACCUCCUCCCCACCUUCGCCAGAUACGACCGCCCAUUCAUCACCGCCACCCAUCGCGUCGCCCGCCCCCGCCCGCAACCUUCUCUCGUCUUCCACCCAUCCUCGCCGCGCCAUCGCACUCCCGCAAUCCUGUUAGCCUCUCUCCCUGACAUGGCUUCACUUCCCGGUGCGAAACCCUAGCGGCGGCAGCGGCGGCGGCGGCGGAUUGGUGUGGGAGGUGGUAGUGGAGACGGCGGCCUCAGGCAGGGGCAUACUAUAGGUGGCUCGACAGUCGCCUGGCAGGCUGUAUAGGCAGCGGAGGUGGAGGUCGUGCGAGGCGGCUCUUCCGCCGAUCCGUUCGUUCGAGUCCUUGGUUGCUGCGUUGACUUUCCUGGCUGCCGCCAUGCUAGCAAGCACGACCAUUGCGACGUCUUCUCUGGUGCUACCGGCAAGCAGCCGACCACAGCACUGCCAUGCCUCUGAUGCUCCAUGGUAGCCGGCCCUGCAUCUCCACUCAGGUACAGCUCGCCACUCCCCUCUCUCCUCUGGUAUGGAACAGUUGGACUGCAAAUAAUGUACAGAUUUGUGAGAUGAUGCUUGUGCUAUCUUGUUCACGUUCUGAUGAGGGAGAAAGGAAAAUGCUGUAGCCAAUGGAUGUUUAGUGGGACUACGUUCUGAUUUGACAAAGCUAAAGGAAGCAUAUAUCACAAAUUUCUAUCGGUAAUUGUUUUAUUUCUCAAAUUGGUUCUUUGGAUGCUGAGAAUUCACAAUGCCUAGGUUAAAUUAGUUGAGAUUAGCUUUUUUGAUAAUUUGUCUCAAUUCAAUGAAGGAAAGAGAAUAUGGGGAUGGUGUUUCAUUCUUGGCCGGUUAUCGAUUGCGCUUCCAAAUAAAGUUGGAGCAAUAAUAUGUGGUUGAGGCUCAAGUUGCUAGCAGGAGCUGUGAUAAUAUAAAUGUUCAACAUAUGAGUUUUCUGCGCUUGUGUUUUUGCAGGUGUCACCCUUUCUGUUACAGUUGGUUUUGCAGCCUGAUAUGUGGUUAAGAAGCUAUUGUGGAGAGGUGAAGUUAGCAGGGCUGAUGGUGGAAGCUUCCGGGUUUACUGGAGAUAUGGCAGAGUAGGUCACCGAGGUGUUACUCAAAGAAAUACACCUGGCUUGAAAUGGACUAUGGUAGAAGUGACAAGGAGACGAAGGAAGACUUUUGUUGUCAAUCAGAUAAAAGAGGCAAAGCUGGAGACUCCGAUAUUAGCAUGAUGAAGCAACAAAUGAUGGAAAUAGGUAAGUUUCUUGAUUACCGCUGCUCUUUGAACUGGUCUGAGCAUCAUAGCUGGAAGAUCCUAUAAUGUGUGCCAAAACUGUGGCGAUUAAUUCUAUGAGACAAUUUGAGAGUGAAACAAGGGACUGAAUACAUGGCCAGAGAGGCAAAUACGUACGGUCUGCUUAGAUUUAGGUGUUAGACUAACUCCUUUGAAAGUAUCUUUUGAUUGUUCAAUGUUCUCUUGGGGGUUGUACUUUUAUUCUUUAAGUAUAUUCCUGUUGAUUAUUCAUGUAGCAUUUGCUUUUACUAAUCCGUUUAUAUUUGGCUGCUACAAGAUUACUUGUGGAAGAAUAUCAGUAGCAUGCACUAUAUAUGUAUGCAGAACAGACCAUAGUCAUGAUUUUAUAUUGCUCGGAGUCUCGGACCAAGAUUUGUAUGCACCGAUCAUUGUUUCAGUCUUUAGGGGUUACAGGGAAAUGACAUAUAUUAGCCAGUGCUACCACUAAUAGUGCAAUUGUAUAUUUGAUGAAAGGAAGCAGGUUAACCACUCAGUAUUAGAGUAACAUGCUACAUGUAGAAGUACCAUCUAAAAAGGAAAGAUACAUUACUUCGUGAAAAAUCUUGGUAGAUAAAUAGUGAAGACUUUUGGCAGUGGAUUGUGUAUAAUACCACGACACUGCUAUAUCUGUCAAAACCUGACCUACAUAUAGUAGUUACUAAAUGAAAAUUUUGGAUGAAAAUACUACUGCAUAAUGAUUCUGUUAGCAAAGCUUCAUCCUCCGAUGAAUAUGAGAUGCAUUCUUUAGACCCUUUAAUUUCCAUGAGAAGAAUGUGAUCAUAUGACUUGCUUGUUCAUUCUCCCUUUAUGCUAAAUUUAUUUCUUUCCAGAAGGCAUACUACUCUGCUUGUGCUUCCUUUGUGCUCUCUUAUCAGAUAGUAUGUCAUUUUUAUUUUCCUUAUGUUUUAUAUUAUAGCUUGUGCCGUCUUUUCCAAUUUAUAAGCACUAUUUCGCUAGUUAAUAAAUAGUUUAAAUAAUGAGCACUACAGUGGAGAGGUUUGUGUGACAGUCCAAGGAAGUCUCUAGCAGAAUGCAGUUUUCUGGGACCAGCUUUUUAACCGUGGACUUUCCAUGGAAGAUGGAUACAUACAUCUGCCUUAUUCGGUGUUGCCGUUCACUCUCACCCUCCCAUGGAGAUGUCGCCGACAAUGCUGCCAUACAUGUCCCUGCAAUCGUCACCCCCAUCCUCAUGUCUAGAGGUGCUGGUAACUGCUAUUAUUGUUGGAACCAUUGGCUAUUUAUACAUAGAUGGAAGGUAAACAUUUAUCUCCCUGUCAACUUGCUCCGAGAGGAGAUGUCGAGGAUGACGAGCAAGUUGGCAUCCGUGAAGCUUCGCCGGAGCCAUUCCUACUCUUCUAGAGCCACAAGGAGAGCCUUGGCAGGCUGUACGAGUGGGAGAAGAAGCUCUAUGAGGAAGUCAGGGUACGUUCGAUCCAGCACACACGCUUCUCGCAGAAUUCGUAUGAUCACUAAAAAUAUUACAUAUAUUAAUGCUGAAAUAACCGUUCUUGUCGUCAUUUGUUUGCUUCUCCCAGAUCUAUUGAUCUGCUUUGUGAAUAUACUCGAGUUAAUUUGUUUUCCACCACCUGAUAGUGACAUGAAUAUCAAUUAUCUGUAGUAGUAUUUAUGUCAAGAUUGUGGGUACUUUUUAAAGCUAUGCCAGAAUUAUUUAUAAUUAUAACUGAAAACAGGGAACAUGCAUGAGCUUCAAGACCAUGGUUCGUACAGUAUUAAGUAAGAAUGUUCUUUAGUUUGAUGAGGAUAAAUUCAGUUUUAGUAUUUUUUACAGUACUUGUAAAUUCCUGAGCAAAAUACAAGAAACACACAUUUAGGUGUCCCUUUGACAAAAAGAAACGUCCGAGCUUAAAGCCUUCAGAGUUGUUGAAAGUUGAAACUAUACAGUUUCAAUUUAUGUAGCGUCAUCAGGGUGCGGCUCAUGCUAUCAAGAUAUGCCAACCUCCAAAUUUAUUUUGUAUGCAAAUCUAUUUGACGCAAAUGCUUAAUGGUAUUGAUUUUACUCUGAAUACUGUGGGAGAUGUCAUUUCGAGACUGAACUAGCCUACUUUCUUAUAAUCCAUGAUCAUCACAUCACCGUAGCAUAUAGAAAGGGGUUGGUUCAUUGGUUCGUCCAGCGAUGACGUCAACUCGGACAAGGUAAUGACAUGUAAUUCUGAUGGUAGAUUGAGCUUUUUCAUUUUUAGUACAUCGAAUAUAUGAUCUCAAGGAAUGAUGAUUUUCUCCUUCCGAAUCAUUUGAUAGAUACUUCAAUGAUAAGCAACAAAUUUGAUAAAUUAGAGAGAGAUAUGCUUUCAUCAAUUGCUUACCCUUGAAGAAAUCAUUUUGUUCUGCUUUAUGAAAACCGCGCAGCAUAUACAUUCUGGUGUUGGGAUAAUAUGUGGACGUGAUUCAGUCGCUUAGUAUUCUGGAUUUGCGGUUUAAUCUCCUAAGAUGUUCAGUUUCAUGCAGAUGGUGCCCAUCGACACUGCUACCUUCCGAAGGUUGCCAUGCUAUGGAUUGACAACCAUGGGCGUGUUUCUUCCAUGCGCUGUAGAGCAGGUGGACGAGGAGAAGGGGCCAGCCCGAGCUGGACGACGGAGUGUCUUCGGAGGCGGAGGAGAGGACCAACAAUAGCAGCGACACGGUGGUGUCUAGCAGGAUCAAUAAGCUGACCCGCAGGGCUUGGCAAGGCCGUGAGACAUGGCCGCAGCAAUGGAGCACGUCUUUGGAAAAACGAACACGUCAGGCCAAUAAUAUAGACCUAUUAGCAUAUAUGCAUGAGACAGUACCGUGGCCUGCUCUGCUUUAUAAAUGAAAACUCUUCUGCUGCAGUUCUAUUUUA